rnacentral:rRNA from 1 species
AUUGAACGCUGGCGGCAGGCCUAACACAUGCAAGUCGAACGGUAACAGGAAACAGCUUGCUGUUUCGCUGACGAGUGGCAGACGGGUGAGUAAUGUCUGGGAAACUGCCUGAUGGAGGGGGAUAACUACUGGAAACGGUAGCUAAUACCGCAUAACGUCGCAAGACCAAAGAGGGGGACCUUCGGGCCUCUUGCCAUCGGAUGUGCCCAGAUGGGAUUAGCUAGUAGGUGGGGUAACGGCUCACCUAGGCGACGAUCCCUAGCUGGUCUGAGAGGAUGACCAGCCACACUGGAACUGAGACACGGUCCAGACUCCUACGGGAGGCAGCAGUGGGGAAUAUUGCACAAUGGGCGCAAGCCUGAUGCAGCCAUGCCGCGUGUAUGAAGAAGGCCUUCGGGUUGUAAAGUACUUUCAGCGGGGAGGAAGGGAGUAAAGUUAAUACCUUUACUCAUUGACGUUACCCGCAGAAGAAGCACCGGCUAACUCCGUG